rnacentral:misc_RNA from 1 species
UUUCCGUAGGUGAACCUGCGGAAGGAUCAUUAUUGUAUAACCGAGGUGCGAGGGCUGUCGCUGACCCGAAAGGUCGUGCACGCCCGAGUGCCCUCACACACAUCCAUCUCACCCCUAUGUGCACCACCGCGUGGGUCCCCCUUUGGCUUGUUCGGAGGGGGGCUUACGUUUUCACACAAACUUUGUAUGCAGUGUAGAAUGUAUUUUUGUUUUUGCGAUCACGCAAUCAAUACAACUUUCAACAACGGAUCUCUUGGCUCUCGCAUCGAUGAAGAACGCAC